UGCGUGAAGUCGGAAUCGCUAGUAAUCGCGGAUCAGCAUGCCGCGGUGAAUACGUUCCCGGGCCUUGUACACACCGCCCGUCACACCAUGAGAGUUGGGAAUACCCGAAGCCUGUGAGCUAACUGUAAGGAGGCAGCAGUCGAAGGUAGAAUCAAUGAUUGGGGUGAAGUCGUAACAAGGUAAC
rnacentral:rRNA from 1 species